rnacentral:rRNA from 1 species
GACGAACGCUGGCGGCGUGCUUAACACAUGCAAGUCGAACGGAAAGGCCCUGCUUUUGUGGGGUGCUCGAGUGGCGAACGGGUGAGUAACACGUGAGUAACCUGCCCUUGACUUUGGGAUAACUUCAGGAAACUGGGGCUAAUACCGGAUAGGAGCUCCUGCUGCAUGGUGGGGGUUGGAAAGUUUCGGCGGUUGGGGAUGGACUCGCGGCUUAUCAGCUUGUUGGUGGGGUAGUGGCUUACCAAGGCUUUGACGGGUAGCCGGCCUGAGAGGGUGACCGGCGACAUGGGGACUGAGAGACGGCCCAGACUCCUACGGGAGGCAGCAGUGGGGAAUAUUGCACAAUGGGCGGAAGCCUGAUGCAGCAACGCCGCGUGCGGGAUGAUGGCCUUCGGGUUGUAAACCGCUUUCGCCUGUGACGAAGCGUGAGUGACGGUAAUGGGUAAAGAAGCACCGGCUAACUACGUG